rnacentral:rRNA from 1 species
UACGGGGGGGCAAGCGUUGUUCGGAAUUACUGGGCGUAAAGGGCUCGUAGGCGGCCAACUAAGUCGGACGUGAAAUCCCUCGGCUUAACCGGGGAACUGCGUCCGAUACUGGAUGGCUUGAGUUCGGGAGAGGGAUGCGGAAUUCCAGGUGUAGCGGUGAAAUGCGUAGAUAUCUGGAGGAACACCGGUGGCGAAGGCGGCAUCCUGGACCGACACUGACGCUGAGGAGCGAAAGCCAGGGGAGCAAACAGG